rnacentral:rRNA from 1 species
CACGUAGGCACCAAGCGUUGUCCGGAUUUAUUGGGCGUAAAGAGCUCGUAGGCGGUUGAGUAAGUCGGGUGUGAAAACUCUGGGCUUAACCCAGAGCCGCCACUCGAUACUGCUCUGACUUGAGUUCGGUAGGGGAGCAGGGAAUUCCUAGUGUAGCGGUGAAAUGCGCAGAUAUCGGGAGGAACACCAAUGGCGAAGGCAGCUCGCUGGGACGGUACUGACGCUGAGGCGCGAAAGCGUGGGGAGCAAACAGG